CACACUAUCAUUAACUGAAUCCAUAGGUUAAUGAGGCGAACCGGGGGAACUGAAACAUCUAAGUACCCCGAGGAAAAGAAAUCAACCGAGAUUCCCCCAGUAGCGGCGAGCGAACGGGGAGCAGCCCAGAGCCUGAAUCAGUGUGUGUGUUAGUGGAAGCGUCUGGAAAGGCGCGCGAUACAGGGUGACAGCCCCGUACACAAAAAUGCACAUGCUGUGAGCUCGAUGAGUAGGGCGGGACACGUGGUAUCCUGUCUGAAUAUGGGGGGACCAUCCUCCAAGGCUAAAUACUCCUGACUGACCGAUAGUGAACCAGUACCGUGAGGGAAAGGCGAAAAGAACCCCGGCGAGGGGAGUGAAAAAGAACCUGAAACCGUGUACGUACAAGCAGUGGGAGCACGCUUAGGCGUGUGACUGCGUACCUUUUGUAUAAUGGGUCAGCGACUUAUAUUCUGUAGCAAGGUUAACCGAAUAGGGGAGCCGAAGGGAAACCGAGUCUUAACUGGGCGUUAAGUUGCAGGGUAUAGACCCGAAACCCGGUGAUCUAGCCAUGGGCAGGUUGAAGGUUGGGUAACACUAACUGGAGGACCGAACCGACUAAUGUUGAAAAAUUAGCGGAUGACUUGUGGCUGGGGGUGAAAGGCCAAUCAAACCGGGAGAUAGCUGGUUCUCCCCGAAAGCUAUUUAGGUAGCGCCUCGUGAAUUCAUCUCCGGGGGUAGAGCACUGUUUCGGCAAGGGGGUCAUCCCGACUUACCAACCCGAUGCAAACUGCGAAUACCGGAGAAUGUUAUCACGGGAGACACACGGCGGGUGCUAACGUCCGUCGUGAAGAGGGAAACAACCCAGACCGCCAGCUAAGGUCCCAAAGUCAUGGUUAAGUGGGAAACGAUGUGGGAAGGCCCAGACAGCCAGGAUGUUGGCUUAGAAGCAGCCAUCAUUUAAAGAAAGCGUAAUAGCUCACUGGUCGAGUCGGCCUGCGCGGAAGAUGUAACGGGGCUAAACCAUGCACCGAAGCUGCGGCAGCGACGCUUAUGCGUUGUUGGGUAGGGGAGCGUUCUGUAAGCCUGUGAAGGUGUGCUGUGAGGCAUGCUGGAGGUAUCAGAAGUGCGAAUGCUGACAUAAGUAACGAUAAAGCGGGUGAAAAGCCCGCUCGCCGGAAGACCAAGGGUUCCUGUCCAACGUUAAUCGGGGCAGGGUGAGUCGACCCCUAAGGCGAGGCCGAAAGGCGUAGUCGAUGGGAAACAGGUUAAUAUUCCUGUACUUGGUGUUACUGCGAAGGGGGGACGGAGAAGGCUAUGUUGGCCGGGCGACGGUUGUCCCGGUUUAAGCGUGUAGGCUGGUUUUCCAGGCAAAUCCGGAAAAUCAAGGCUGAGGCGUGAUGACGAGGCACUACGGUGCUGAAGCAACAAAUGCCCUGCUUCCAGGAAAAGCCUCUAAGCAUCAGGUAACAUCAAAUCGUACCCCAAACCGACACAGGUGGUCAGGUAGAGAAUACCAAGGCGCUUGAGAGAACUCGGGUGAAGGAACUAGGCAAAAUGGUGCCGUAACUUCGGGAGAAGGCACGCUGAUAUGUAGGUGAAGUCCCUUGCGGAUGGAGCUGAAAUCAGUCGAAGAUACCAGCUGGCUGCAACUGUUUAUUAAAAACACAGCACUGUGCAAACACGAAAGUGGACGUAUACGGUGUGACGCCUGCCCGGUGCCGGAAGGUUAAUUGAUGGGGUUANNNNNNNNNNNNNNNNNNNNNNNNNNNNNNNNNNNNNNNNNNNNNNNNNNNNNNNNNNNNNNNNNNNNNNNNNNNNNNNNNNNNNNNNNNNNNNNNNGGCGAAGCUCUUGAUCGAAGCCCCGGUAAACGGCGGCCGUAACUAUAACGGUCCUAAGGUAGCGAAAUUCCUUGUCGGGUAAGUUCCGACCUGCACGAAUGGCGUAAUGAUGGCCAGGCUGUCUCCACCCGAGACUCAGUGAAAUUGAACUCGCUGUGAAGAUGCAGUGUACCCGCGGCAAGACGGAAAGACCCCGUGAACCUUUACUAUAGCUUGACACUGAACAUUGAGCCUUGAUGUGUAGGAUAGGUGGGAGGCUUUGAAGUGUGGACGCCAGUCUGCAUGGAGCCGACCUUGAAAUACCACCCUUUAAUGUUUGAUGUUCUAACGUUGACCCGUAAUCCGGGUUGCGGACAGUGUCUGGUGGGUAGUUUGACUGGGGCGGUCUCCUCCUAAAGAGUAACGGAGGAGCACGAAGGUUGGCUAAUCCUGGUCGGACAUCAGGAGGUUAGUGCAAUGGCAUAAGCCAGCUUGACUGCGAGCGUGACGGCGCGAGCAGGUGCGAAAGCAGGUCAUAGUGAUCCGGUGGUUCUGAAUGGAAGGGCCAUCGCUCAACGGAUAAAAGGUACUCCGGGGAUAACAGGCUGAUACCGCCCAAGAGUUCAUAUCGACGGCGGUGUUUGGCACCUCGAUGUCGGCUCAUCACAUCCUGGGGCUGAAGUAGGUCCCAAGGGUAUGGCUGUUCGCCAUUUAAAGUGGUACGCGAGCUGGGUUUAGAACGUCGUGAGACAGUUCGGUCCCUAUCUGCCGUGGGCGCUGGAGAACUGAGGGGGGCUGCUCCUAGUACGAGAGGACCGGAGUGGACGCAUCACUGGUGUUCGGGUUGUCAUGCCAAUGGCACUGCCCGGUAGCUAAAUGCGGAAGAGAUAAGUGCUGAAAGCAUCUAAGCACGAAACUUGCCCCGAGAUGAGUUCUCCCUGACUCCUUGAGAGUCCUGAAGGAACGUUGAAGACGACGACGUUGAUAGGCCGGGUGUGUAAGCGCAGCGAUGCGUUGAGCUAACCGGUACUAAUGAACCGUGAGGCUUAACCUU
rnacentral:rRNA from 1 species